rnacentral:lncRNA from 1 species
AACAAUUUUAAAUAUGCCGAUAUUAAAUUUGAACAUAAGAUUAUCAAUUAAUAUUCUGUGGUUUUGUUUUCAUAUUUUACUCCCCUUUCCAAUCAGGGGAAUUACUAAGGUGCGGGCUAGUUCCAACCAAGGGCUGGCCCAUACCCGUGAAGGAGGGGAUCGCCGGGCCCAGCACUCCAAAAAACACUUAUCAGUAGUUACCAGACCCGGGGCGCGACCCGGUCCUCCUACAUGGCACGCCGAGAGCGUUACCACUCCGCUACCCGGCCGCUUUGUAUUCUAUAGUUAAUUAAUGCAGAUAAUUCUGUUUGAAUUUUCGUUAUUUCGUUCAGGAGUGUUUGAAAAAUGUAUAUAAUAUCCUAUACUACAAUAGUAGAUUUAAUAACAUGUAACUCUGAUCGACAGAUAAAUAGUAUCAAUCCCAUAUUGUUGUUUACACCGUCAAAAUCGAUCGCUGAUGACACUUAUAUUUCAACUGAUUGGACAUUUUUUUUUAUAUCCAACACGCUGUAAAUCUGAUCUUGAUUAAUCUAUAUGUAUAAAAUACAAUAUUUCUGUCUGUUCCCACACUAUUUGACUUAUCGAGACUUCAGUGAUUCCCAGUUAGAUUAGGUUAUUUGAAUUAAGGGCCAUAUUUAACAAAUGGUAUACAUUAACUGGCGGCAAUUAGUUUUAAAGCCCAUUACAGGCUGUCCAACACUUAUGGCGGUAUCUGGAAGGUUGAAGGAUGAGGCUAAACACAGAUUCCUCCCGAAAACUGGAGGAAAGGGACUCGAAUAUGAACCUGGAUACUCCAAGGUGAUAAAUGAAUGCGAAACGCUGACAUAGUCGACUGUAAUAUAAGGUGUCAAGGGACAAAAUCGUUUCAGGGUAGAGCGUUUUGAAGCCAUAAUUUAAAAUAGGUAUUUAAAUCUUUCAAACUGUUGUUGACAUAGCAAUGAGUGGUUCCAGAAUGACAUUAUAAUCUCACAGGCAUGUUUUUUUGAUCAAAAGUUAACGCCACUGUUGACCAAAAAAACACUAAGAUAAAACGCUUUGGAUUCAAUUUUUUUUUGUUAACAGAUGAC